rnacentral:rRNA from 1 species
UCAAUCUCGUGCGGCUAAGUGCCGCUUGUCCCUCUAAGAAGAUAACUACGCCCAGAGCACGAAGGAUCCGGGCGCCUAGUUAGCAGGUUAGAGUCUCGUUCGUUAU